CAAAAUCUUCCUUGGUGCCAGGGCUGAUUUCCUGGGCUAAGAAACUGAAGAUCUCUUUGGGGCAUUUCUGAGCUCCCAGGAAUUCUUGGGUUAUCACCAGUGCUUCCAGUGUUCAGCACAGCCUUAAUUGAUGGGAAGAGAGUGAAUGAACGGAUGGGAAAGGCUCAGUAACCUAUUUGUGUCACCCUCUGGAAAAAAGGAGCUAAAAGGACCAUCUUUUAUGUGGCAAAACUAAGGACAGGGUCACACCGUGAUUAAAUGGCAUCAGAAAUCACCUAUGCUGAGGUGAAGUUCAAAAAUGAAUCGCCGACUCCAGUGGUCAGAGGACUUCCUGAGAAAGAGAAGCCUGAGCAACAUCCCCAGAAGUACCCACUCUGGCUGCCAUGGUUGAUCUCACUGCUGCUUCUCUUGGUGUGCAUUGCCCUUGUUGUCGUCCUCCUUGGUGAGUAUGUGCAAGGAUAUUACAAGAGAGAGGUCUGGGGGGAGUGUUGGGAGAAAAGUAGAGAAACCAUGUUUUAUGGUUGUCUGGUCUUUGUGUAAGGUCUCAGGUUUUCCUGCUCUGGCUUUGUACAUGUCUGCAUGCAUCCCCCAAAUCUUCCACUGUUUACCCUGAGGCCUCGUCAGUGUGCCCAGAUUGCACAUUCCAAUCUUGCAUGGCCAUUUUGGAACUGUGGAACAAUUCUCUACCUUCCUUCCCCACAAAAAGAACUCAGUUACUUUUGACAGAUGGGGAAAAGUGGAGACAGAAGCACAAGUCUAUACAGGCAGCUGAAUCUGCACUUAGACUUUCUAAGGUACUUGGAUAUGCUUUGUGUCCUAGCGGAAAAAAUUCUUUCUCGCAGUCCUGGCAUCUCCAGGAUUAACAGCAUAGUGCAGUUAAUUAACUCUCACAACUUUUUAGGGUUGGUUGGAGAACAGUUCAUUAAAGGUUAUUCCUGGACAUGCUGUUUGUGAAGAUUGUGAUGACCGUUUCAUUCUCAUUCUCUGUUAAAGAUAAUUCAUGGUAUGUUUGCACAAGUUGUCAAUUACCAUGCGGGAUUCUGGAAGAGGCAUUUUAUUACGAAAAAUCACUGCCUUUCCUUUUGCUGCCCUUAGCAUCUGAGUCCCAGACAUUUGUAUUCCUUUUUUCCCAAAUGUAUAACUUUUCACGGUACUCUGGUGAAUGGUUGGGGAGUUUUAGGCUGGGGUGUUAGCAUCUGAUACCUUCUGAGACACAUGAAAAGUUUAAUUUUUAGUGGAAUUUUACUUAUCCAAGUUAAUUGAAGCUACACAAGAUUUCGGUUUAGCAUAGCA
rnacentral:lncRNA from 1 species